rnacentral:rRNA from 1 species
GAGUUUGAUCCUGGCUCAGGAUGAACGCUGGCGGCGUGCUUAACACAUGCAAGUCGAGCGAAGCGCUUUGGUUAGAUUCUUCGGAACGAGGAGCCUUGCGACUGAGUGGCGGACGGGUGAGUAACGCGUGGGCAACCUGCCUUGCACUGGGGGAUAACAGCCAGAAAUGACUGCUAAUACCGCAUAAGACCACAGUACCGCAUGGUACAGGGGUAAAAACUCCGGUGGUAUGAGAUGGACCCCGCGUCUGAUUAGCUGGUUGUGGGUAACGGCCUACCAAGGCGACGAUCAGUAGCCGGCCUGAGAGGGCGACGGCCACAUUGGGACUGAGACACGGCCCAAACUCCUACGGGAGGCAGCAGUGGGGAAUAUUGCACAAUGGGCGAAAGCCUGAUGCAGCGACGCCGCGUGAGCGAUG